AUUGAACGCUGGCGGCAGGCUUAACACAUGCAAGUCGAGCGGGGGAAGGUAGCUUGCUACUGGACCUAGCGGCGGACGGGUGAGUAAUGCUUAGGAAUCUGCCUAUUAGUGGGGGACAACAUCUCGAAAGGGAUGCUAAUACCGCAUACGUCCUACGGGAGAAAGCAGGGGAUCUUCGGACCUUGCGCUAAUAGAUGAGCCUAAGUCGGAUUAGCUAGUUGGUGGGGUAAAGGCCUACCAAGGCGACGAUCUGUAGCGGGUCUGAGAGGAUGAUACGCCACACUGGGACUGAGGCACGGCCCAGACUCCUACGGGAGGCAGCAGGGGGGGAUAGUUGACGAUGGGGGGAACCCUGAUCCAGCCAUGCCGCGUGUGUGAAGAAGGCCUUAUGGUUGUAAAGCACUUUAAGCGAGGAGGAGGCUACUCUAGUUAAUACCUAGGGAUAGUGGACGUUACUCGCAGAAUAAGCACCGGCUAACUCUGUGCCAGCCGCCGCGGUAA
rnacentral:rRNA from 1 species